AAAAAAGGUAAUGUAGGUCCACUGCUGUUUAUCUGACUUUUCAAGCCACUAUUUGACGUUUGACUAUGAGUAUUGCAUGGUCAUUUUCUUGUGAAAUAUCAGUGCUUGGCAUUUCAUACUUACCAAUGACCACCUCUAAAAGCACCAUCUCUGAACCAUAUAAGCACCUCAGAAUAGUCAAAGCUUUUAUGGUUUGGUAGAUAGCACUAUGGCGAAAGCGUCGUUUUUGGGUGUGGUCAGUUUCGGACGUUUCGUCCCGGAUUCCGGUUCGGGCAGCGUUACCAUGUUGAUCGUCAUGGUCAACUUGCCUUAAAACAGUUGAGAUUAUCUGUCCUAAAUGAAAUGCAUACAAACUCAUAUGCAGAUCCUAGACUAACGCCAUGGAGAGGUUUUUGUUUUGAAAUGAUAUGACAAGUACUUGAUAAACAGUAAGUUCCAUUCCAUGUGAAAACAUUACAAUGUCGUUGUUGUCAGUUUUCAAGUAGUGAUUUUUACAAGACAUGCAAAUUGUGCACAUUCUAAUACUUCCAAGAAAUUCACAUGUGAUUCAAUUUAAAUUUUAACAUUUUCUUGACAUGCAUCAAUUUUAUAAAUAGAGAUUGCUCCACAUCUUCUAAGAUAUCAUUGGGCGUAUAUUGAUUAACACCUAAUAUAAAAAGACUUGCUAACUAAAGUUUAACUGAAAAUGUUAUCCAGAGGUAAUAUCCGUAGUCUGUAGUCAGAUUUCAAACUGGAUAAUUUAAUAAUAAUUCUUUAAACUCAACAAUCAAAGUAAAGUAAAAAUGUAAAAUGUCAA